UACGUAGGGGCAAGCGUUGUCCGGAAUCAUUGGGCGUAAAGCGCGUGUAGGCGGCUCGGUAAGUCCGCUCUGAAAGCCCGGGGCUCAACCCCGGGAGGCGGGUGGAUACUGCUGAGCUCGAGUCCGGAAGAGGAGUGUGGAAUUCCUGGUGUAGCGGUGAAAUUCGUAGAUAUUGGGAAGAACACGGUGGCGAAGGCGGCGACCUGGUCCAUGACUGACGCUGAGGCGCGAAAGCGUGGGGAGCAAACAGG
rnacentral:rRNA from 1 species